UUGGAGAGUUUGAUCCUGGCUCAGGACGAACGCUGGCGGCGUGCUUAACACAUGCAAGUCGAACGGAAAGGCCC
rnacentral:rRNA from 1 species